AUUGAACGCUAGCGGCAUGCUUAACACAUGCAAGUCGAACGGUAACAGCAGAGCUUGCUCUGGCUGACGAGUGGCGGACGGGUGAGUAAUGCUUAGGAAUCUGCCCAGUAGCGGGGGACAACGUGUGGAAACGCACGCUAAUACCGCAUACGCCCUACGGGGGAAAGCAGGGGAUCUUCGGACCUUGCACUAUUGGAUGAGCCUAAGUCAGAUUAGCUUGUUGGUGGGGUAAAAGCCUACCAAGGCGACGAUCUGUAGCUGGUCUGAGAGGACGAUCAGCCACACUGGAACUGAGACACGGUCCAG
rnacentral:rRNA from 1 species